GGGGAAUAUUGGACAAUGGGCGCAAGCCUGAUCCAGCCAUGCCGCGUGAGUGAUGAAGGCCCUAGGGUUGUAAAGCUCUUUCAACGGUGAAGAUAAUGACGGUAACCGUAGAAGAAGCCCCGGCUAACUUCGUGCCAGCAGCCGCGGUAAUACGAAGGGGGCUAGCGUUGUUCGGAAUUACUGGGCGUAAAGCGCACGUAGGCGGAUUGGUCAGUUAGGGGUGAAAUCCCAGGGCUCAACCCUGGAACUGCCUUUAAUACUGCCGGUCUUGAGUUCGAGAGAGGUGAGUGGAAUUCCGUGUGUAGAGGUGAAAUUCGUAGAUAUUCGGAGGAACACCAGUGGCGAAGGCGGCUCACUGGCUCGAUACUGACGCUGAGGUGCGAAAGCGUGGGGAGCAAAC
rnacentral:rRNA from 1 species